rnacentral:rRNA from 1 species
UUAAAGUCUAAUUCUGCCCCCUGAUAAAUUAUUUAAUGGCCGCAGUAUUUUAACUGUGCAAAGGUAGCAUAAUCAUUAGUUUUUUAAUUGAAAACUUGUAUGAAUGAUUGGACGAGAUAUAAACUGUUUCAUAAAAAUUUUAUAUAGAAUUUAAUUUUUUAGUUAAAAAGCUAAAAUUUAUUUAAAAGACGAGAAGACCCUAUAGAUCUUUAUAUAAUUAUUUAUUACUGUUAUUGUAGAAUUUUUAUAAAUUAAUAUAUAAUUAUAUUUUAUUGGGGUGAUAUUGAAAUUUAAAAAACUUUUAAAUUAUUUAAUACAUUAAUUUAUGAAUAAAUGAUCUUUUAUUAUUGAUUAAUAAUUUAAGUUACCUUAGGGAUAACAGCGUAAUUAUUUUGGAGAGUUCAUAUUGAUAAAAUAGAUUGCGACCUCGAUGUUGGAUUAAGAUUAAUUUUGGAUGCAGUAGUUCAAUUGAUUAAGUCUGUUCGACUUUUAAUUUCUUACAUGAUCU